rfam:Triticum aestivum genome assembly, contig: Triticum_aestivum_CS42_TGACv1_scaffold_486471_6AS
AUCGAGAAAACCAUGUCGAAGGAACUCGGCAAAAUGACCGCGUAACUUCAGGAGAAGGGGUGCUCUCCUAUCUUUUGAUUAGGAAAGCGGCACAUACCAGGGGUAGCGACUGUUUAUUAAAAACACAGGACACUAUUAAGUGGUAACACGAUGUAUAGAGUCUGACACCUGCCUGGUGCUGGAAGGUCGGAAGGAGAAGUGUGAUAAGCUUUGAAUAGAAGCCCCGGUAAAUGGCGGUAGUAACUCUAAUUGUCCUAAGGUAGCGAAAUUCCUUGUCGCAUAAAUAGCGACCUGCACGAAUGGUGUAACGACUGCCCCGUUGUCUUCGACAUGGACCCG